AUCGCUUCUUGGCCUUUUGGCUAAGAUCGAAUGUAGUAUCUGUUCUCGUCAGCUUAAUAACAGAGAGUUGCAAAUGUCUUAUAAUUCCUAAGGAAUAUCAGAUUUAUGCCAAUAAUAAUAUAAUAAUU
rnacentral:snRNA from 1 species